rnacentral:rRNA from 1 species
AGUGGCGAACGGGGUGAGUAACACGUAGGAAUCUACCCUUAAGACGGGGACAACCCAGGGAAACUUGGGCUAAUACCGGAUGAGAGUGCGAGAGAUUGCAUUUAAAAGGAUGGCGAAAGUUGUCGCUUAGGGAUGAGCCUGCGGUCUAUUAGUUAGUUGGUGAGGUAAGAGCUCACCAAGGCGAUGAUAGAUAGGCGGCCUUAACGGGUGGUCGCCCACACUGGGAUUGAGAUACGGCCCAGACUCCUACGGGAGGCAGCAGUCGAGAAUAGUCUACAAUGGCCGGAAGGCUGAUAGUGCGACGCCGCGUGAACGAGGGAGCCCUUCGGGGUGUAAAGUUCUUUUCUAUACGAGCAGUGCUAUAUAUAUGGAUAGUAUAUAUAGAGGGAUAGUAGUAUAGGAAUAAGCAACGGCUAACUCCGUGCCAGCAGCCGCGGUAACACGGGGGUUGCGAGCGUUGUCCGGAAUUACUAGGCGUAAAGGGCAGGUAGGCGGAUCUACGAGUUUUUUGUUAAAGGCUACGGCUCAACUGUAGUAGAGCAGGAGAUACUGUAGGUCUGGAAUGCGGUAGGGGAAGACAGAAUUCCUGGUGUAGCGGUGGAAUGCGCAGAGAUCAGGAGGAAUACCGAAGGCGAAGGCAGUCUUCUAGGCCGUAAUUGACGCUUAACUGCGAAGGUGUGGGGAUCAAACAGGAUUAGAUACCCUGGUAGUCCACACAGUAAACGAUAAUCACUAGAUGUCGGGUUCUAGAUGGAUUCGGUGUCGGAGUAACGCGAUAAGUGAUUCGCCUGGGGAGUACGAUCGCAAGGUUGAAACUCAAAGGAAUUGACGGGGGCCCGCACAAGCGGUGGAGCAUGUGGUUUAAUUCGAGGCAACGCGAAGAACCUUACCCGGUUUUGACAUCCACGGGAGGCUUCAGAGAUGGAGCUGUGCCGGCGUAAGCUGGAGCCGUGAGACAGGUGCUGCAUGGCUGUCGUCAGCUCGUGUCGUGAGAUGUUGGGUUAAGUCCCGCAACGAGCGCAACCCUUGCCUUCAGUUACCAUCAUUAAGUUGGGGACUCUGGAGGGACCGCUGCGGUAACAACGCAGAGGAAGAUGGGGACGACGUCAAGUCAUCAUGGUCCUUAUGGCCGGGGCUACACACGUGCUACAAUGGCAGUUACAGAGGGAUGCGAUUCAGUAAUGAGGAGCGAAACUCAGAAAAGUGCCGCAGUUCGGAUUGAGGUCUGCAACUCGGCCUCAUGAAGUCGGAAUCGCUAGUAAUCGCGCAACAUCGUGGCGCGGUGAAUACGUUCCCGGGCC